rnacentral:rRNA from 1 species
GACGAACGCUGGCGGCGUGCUUAACACAUGCAAGUCGAACGCUGAAGCUCAUCUUUUGUUGGGUGGAUGAGUGGCGAACGGGUGAGUAACACGUGAGUAACCUGCCUCCUUCUUUGGGAUAACGCCCGGAAACGUGUGCUAAUACUGGAUAUUCACUGGUCUUCGCAUGGGGGUUGGUGGAAAGGGUUUUUCUGGUGGUGGAUGGGCUCGCGGCCUAUCAGCUUGUUGGUGGGGUGAUGGCCUACCAAGGCUUUGACGGGUAGCCGGGCUGAGAGGGUGCCCGGUCACAUGGGGACUGAGAUACGGCGGAGACUCGUACGGGAGGCAGCAGUGGGGAAUAGUGCAAGAGGGGAGCAAGCCUGAUGCAGCGACGCCGCGUGAGAGAUGGAGGCCGUCGGGUUGGGAACCUCUUUCGCUGAUGGUCAAGCCGAAACAAUGGUUGUGGUGAGGGUAGUGGGUAAAGAAGCGCCGGCUAACUACGUG